rnacentral:tRNA from 2 species
GCCGCGCCCUGGCGGACGCCGUCGCCGCCGAGGCCGGCGCACUGGACGGGGUCGCCGGCUGCCGGGUCGUCCUGCGCGGCCGGCGCGGCUC